CAGGUCUGUUGGAAAUAAACAAUAGCCAUGGAUUCAUAUGGAUAAUAUGCUGAAGAAGGAGACUGACUGAAAUGGAAUGCUGAACUAUUAAUAAUCUUUAGAACGCCCAUUUUAUUUUUCUAGCGAGACAUGAAACGCAACAAGGAAAAAUGUUUCUCACCGUGGCAUGUUUUCCCCAAUCCAGCCAACAGUGAAGGAGGAAAUCAUCCCGCCAACAGCAAACAUAGAGACAGACAAGGACCAAAGCAUCAUGAGCGUUGGAUCUUUCAAUACUUCUUCAAUUAAAAAACUGCCAGUGGAAUUUUUAGUACUUUCAAUGUCCAGGACCUUUGCAUAGUGCGUCAUUAUGAUCUGUGUUAACAAAAAUGCAUUAGUCAUUUCAUUACUCCUAAAAACUAAGUUUAUUUGGACAGUGCAUGUUUCACAACCUGAAUUUGCCCAUCAGGAUGAGAAGUGAAACAAAGGAAAAAUAAAGAAAGUUGCCUUUUGAAAAA